rnacentral:rRNA from 1 species
UACGUAGGGUCCGAGCGUUGUCCGGAAUUAUUGGGCGUAAAGGGCUCGUAGGCGGUUCGUCACGUCGGGAGUGAAAACUCGGAGCUCAACUCCGAGCCUGCUUCCGAUACGAGCAAACUAGAGUGUUGCAGGGGAGACUGGAAUUCCUGGUGUAGCGGUGAAAUGCGCAGAUAUCGAGGAGGAACACCGGUGGGCGAAGGCGGGGUC